rnacentral:rRNA from 3 species
ACCGGGGUUGCGGACAGUGUCUGGUGGGUAGUUUGACUGGGGCGGUCUCCUCCCAAAGCGUAACGGAGGAGCACGAAGGUUAGCUAAUCCUGGUCGGACAUCAGGAGGUUAGUGCAAUGGCAUAAGCUAGCUUGACUGCGAGCGUGACGGCGCGAGCAGGUGCGAAAGCAGGUCAUAGUGAUCCGGUGGUUCUGAAUGGAAGGGCCAUCGCUCAACGGAUAAAAGGUACUCCGGGGAUAACAGGCUGAUACCGCCCAAGAGUUCAUAUCGACGGCGGUGUUUGGCACCUCGAUGUCGGCUCAUCACAUCCUGGGGCUGAAGUAGGUCCCAAGGGUAUGGCUGUUCGCCAUUUAAAGUGGUACGCGAGCUGGGUUUAGAACGUCGUGAGACAGUUCGGUCCCUAUCUGCCGUGGGCGCUGGAGAAUUGAGGGGGGCUGCUCCUAGUACGAGAGGACCGGAGUGGACGCAUCACUGGUGUUCGGGUUGUCAUGCCAAUGGCACUGCCCGGUAGCUAAAUGCGGAAGAGAUAAGUGCUGAAAGCAUCUAAGCACGAAACUUGCCCCGAGAUGAGUUCUCCCUGAGACUU